rnacentral:snRNA from 1 species
GGAUGUGAGGGCAAUCUGGCUGGGACAUGUCACCUCACUGAUCGCCAGGAUCGGUUCAGCUGAUCUGACUGGCUAGGCAGGUGUCCCCUUCUCCCCUCACUGCUGUGUGUGUGCCCCUCCUGAAGCUUCAUGCUGGGUCGAAGAGGACAACCUUCUGUGAUAGAGAAGGACUGUUCUUCGGUCAAGGUACAUGAGUAACUGCACAGCCCUGCUAGAAGCUCCAAACAAGCUCUCAAGAAUAACAAAUAGAAUUUGAUGAUAUAUAAAGAGAAUUAUACACCAUGGCAAAGGGGGGGUUUAUUCCA